rnacentral:lncRNA from 1 species
GGGGGAUGAGACAUGCGCCCUUCGGUUCUGCUGGAGGCUCUAUAGCAGAGAAUAUCCCAUGCAUUACAUUAUUUUCUACCCAAUCUCUCUCUAUUCUGUUCUUUUCCCUCUAAUUUAUGCUCUGCUUUCCCACCCUUGUUGUCAUGACAAUGUCUUUCACUAUUUGCAGUAUUCCUGUCCAGUUUCCAGAUUCCCUUUCCAAAUGCAACCGUUCUUUUUUUCCAUUUUGCUUGGCCACCUUGAAUGUCCUGUUAACAGAAGUAAGAGGACUCUUACUUCUUUUUUUCCUCCUGACCUGUGCUCAUCACAAAUGGCCUACAUUUACAGCCUUCUUCAAAAUCUCUGUGCUCAAGGGUCUGACUUCUUAUUCAGAAACACCCUCCUGGGAGCAACGCAGCAUCCUGGCUCUUCACAGUACAUCUGCAGUCGGGAACAGGCUGUCCGUGAAGGGCCGGGGAAACAAAUGCGGUUCCUGUGUUGUUCACCAGGGGAAGGGGAACAGCCCAAACCGCGGUGUGUAUGAGCUCUGGGUGAGCACAGCUAGCCACACAGGACCAUGAGCAAAUCACAUCGUCUUGACGGCUUCCAGGAACCAGCUGGGCCAUCUCCUGCCAGUGUCCCAUGGGCUCCCUUAACCUGGAGACACCCACAACGAGUGGAGCAGAAGCAGGCUGUCAGGAGCAGAUUGCAGACCUUGCCGGUCUUUGGCCUCCUUUUCCAUUCAGACAAAUUUUAAAUGUUAAAUAAAUACUGAAGGAAUCACUUGUCA